rnacentral:rRNA from 1 species
GACGAACGCUGGCGGCAGGCCUAACACAUGCAAGUCGAGCGAGCGGCGGACUGGUGAGUAACGCCUGGGUAACUGCCUGAUUGAGGUGGAUAACCACUGGAAACGGUAGCUAAUAUCGCACACUCUCACAUUUGCCCAUGUGGGAUUGGCUAGUGGGUGGGGUAACGGCUCACCUAGGCGACGAUCCCUAUCUGGUCUGUGAGGAUGACCGGCCACACUGGAACUGGGACACGGUCCAGACUCCUACGGAAGGCAGCAGUGGGGAAUAUUGCCCAAUGGGCGAACGCCUGAUGAAGCCAUGCCGCGUGUGUUAGGAGGGCCUUCGGGUUGAAAAGCACUUUCAGCGGGGAGGCGUUACCCGCAGAGGAAGCACCGGCUAACUCCGUGCCAGCAGCCGCGGUAAUAC